rnacentral:rRNA from 1 species
GACGAACGCUGGCGGCGUGCUUAACACAUGCAAGUCGAACGGAAAGGCCCUGCUUUUGUGGGGUGCUCGAGUGGCGAACGGGUGAGUAACACGUGAGUAACCUGCCCUUGACUUUGGGAUAACUUCAGGAAACUGGGGCUCAUACCGGAUAGGAGCUCCUGCUGCAUGGUGGGGGUUGGAAAGUUUCGGCGGUUGGGGAUGGACUCGCGGCUUAUCCGCUUGUUGGUGGGGUAGUGGCUUACCAAGGCUUUGACGGGUAGCCGGCCUGAGAGGGUGACCGGCCACAUUGGGACUGAGAUACGGCCCAGACUCCUACGGGAGGCAGCAGUGGGGAAUAUUACACAAUGGGCGGAAGCCUGAUGCAGCAACGCCGCGUGCGGGAUGACGGCCUUCGGGUUGUAAACCGCUUUCGCCUGUGACGAAGCGGGAGUGACGGUAAUGGGUAAAGAAGCACCGGCUAACUACGUG